rnacentral:rRNA from 1 species
UAGGGAAUCUUCCACAAUGGACGCAAGUCUGAUGGAGCAACGCCGCGUGAGUGAAGAAGGUCUUCGGAUCGUAAAGCUCUGUUGUUGGUGAAGAAGGAUAGAGGCAGUAACUGGUCUUUAUUUGACGGUAAUCAACCAGAAAGUCACGGCUAACUACGUGCCAGCAGCCGCGGUAAUACGUAGGUGGCAAGCGUUGUCCGGAUUUAUUGGGCGUAAAGCGAGCGCAGGCGGAAUGAUAAGUCUGAUGUGAAAGCCCACGGCUCAACCGUGGAACUGCAUCGGAAACUGUCAUUCUUGAGUGCAGAAGAGGAGAGUGGAACUCCAUGUGUAGCGGUGGAAUGCGUAGAUAUAUGGAAGAACACCAGUGGCGAAAGGCGGCUCUCUGGUCUGCAACUGACGCUGAGGCUCGAAAGCAUGGGUAGCGAACAGGAUUA